rnacentral:rRNA from 1 species
UGGCGGACGGGUGAGUAAUGUCUGGGAAACCUGCCUGAUGGAGGGGGAUAACUACUGGAAACGGUAGCUAAUACCGCAUAACGUCGCAAGACCAAAGAGGGGGACCUUAGGGCCUCUUGCCAUCGGAUGUGCCCAGAUGGGAUUAGCUAGUAGGUGGGGUAAAGGCUCACCUAGGCGACGAUCCCUAGCUGGUCUGAGAGGAUGACCAGCCACACUGGAACUGAGACACGGUCCAG